GUUGACAUGAGGAACAUGAAGCCUUCUUCGCCUCUCUCCUUGAAAUCUUCCCUCACCACCAACUCUCGAACUCCUCUGUUCACAGACAUAGCUAAUGGCUGCCCCUGAGCCAUCUCUGGGCAGGUUGGAGGUCUGCCUGCAGUGUGGGCUGCACACAGAUGUCUCUGUGAGUGUGAAACGGGACAUAAUGCCUGCCAGCCACACACUAACAGGAGCCUGUCACAUCUUCCUCUGGUGGGAGAUGGCCAAGCUGGAAAGAACUAUGAUGAGGAAAUCAAGCUAAGCAGACCAGAGGCAGCUUCUCAGCUUAGUGCUGAGACCAGUUUUGGUACAAGAGCCCCAGCAAGAUAACUAGAGUGUCAGCAUCCCCCUUUCCUGCGGAAACCUUUCUUUCUGUGAACAUCCUCAGCCUACGGAUAGUGGAGGACUCAGGCAACACCUGGCUCUAUCGGCAUUGUCAAGUCUCAUAGCACCUGGGUUAGUUGUCUUCAGCCAGAUUUUCUCCACCUCUAGCCAAAUGCCAAACAAUGUCCCUGGGUUCUGAUCACUAAAGGUAAAGUGGUUCUUGGAUACAAGGAUUCUCCAGACUGUGUUGCAUGGCCACAUCUCGCUGAUGGCUACUCAGAUCCUGCAUCUGGACAACUGCCCACCCAGCUGGCCUCUAGUGGAGCAGAGAUGCCCAAGCAUGCUAUUGUUUUUGUGAUGCACUGACUGCUCUCCCAUCUCUGUUCUCCAAGCUUCUCAAUGUUGGGCCCUGGUGAGGUCUUUAGGAAAUGCUUUCUAAGCGUCAUUAAGGCCUCCCCAGCUUUGAGCAUCACACCUGCCAUAGUAGAAAAGCAGGGUUGGCUUUGCGGUCCUGUGCCUGCCUGUACAGUGUCUUGAGUCCACAUGCUGUAAAAUGUCCCUGCUCUUGGCUUAAAGUUCUGCAGCUAUUGUCUUGAAAAUCUCAGUCAUUUUUAGGUUAAUAAUUCUUUUUUUGGUUUUUAUUCCAGACAGGGUUUCUCUAUGUAGCUUUGGAGCCUGUCCUGGAAUUCAUUCUAUAGACCAGGAUGGCCUCGAACUCACAUCUACCUGCCUCUGUCUCCCAAGUGCUGAGAUUAAAGGCAUGC
rnacentral:lncRNA from 1 species